GCAUAUCCCAAAAGCGGAGGAAAAGAAACCAACUGGGAUUACCUUAGUAACGGCGAGUGAAGCGGUAAAAGCUCAAAUUUGAAAUCUGGUACUUUCAGUGCCCGAGUUGUAAUUUGUAGAAUUUGUCUUUGAUUAGGUCCUUGUCUAUGUUCCUUGGAACAGGACGUCAUAGAGGGUGAGAAUCCCGUUUGGCGAGGAUACCUUUUCUCUGUAAGACUUUUUCGAAGAGUCGAGUUGUUUGGGAAUGCAGCUCAAAGUGGGUGGUAAAUUCCAUCUAAAGCUAAAUAUUGGCGAGAGACCGAUAGCGAACAAGUACAGUGAUGGAAAGAUGAAAAGAACUUUGAAAAGAGAGUGAAAAAGUACGUGAAAUUGUUGAAAGGGAAGGGCAUUUGAUCAGACAUGGUGUUUUUUGCAUGCACUCGCCUCUCGUGGGCUUGGGCCUCUCAAAAAUUUCACUGGGCCAACAUCAAUUCUGGCAGCAGGAUAAAUCAUUAAGAAUGUAGCUACUUCGGUAGUGUUAUAGCUUUUUGGAAUACUGUUAGCCGGGAUUGAGGACUGCGCUUCGGCAAGGAUGUUGGCAUAAUGGUUAAAUGCCGCCCGUCUUGAAAAACGGACCCA
rnacentral:rRNA from 1 species